rnacentral:rRNA from 1 species
UGGGGAAUAUUGGACAAUGGGGGCAACCCUGAUCCAGCACUGCCGCGUGAGUGAUGAAGGCCUUAGGGUUGUAAAGCUCUUUCGGCAGGGACGAUGAUGACGGUACCCGCAGAAGAAGCCCCGGCUAACUUCGUGCCAGCAGCCGCGGUAAUACGAAGGGGGCGAGCGUUGUUCGGAAUUACUGGGCGUAAAGGGCGCGUAGGCGGCCCUGGAAGUCAGAUGUGAAAGCCCCGGGCUCAACCUGGGAAUAGCAUUUGAUACUCUGGGGCUGGAGUUCGGGAGAGGAGAGUGGAAUUCCCAGUGUAGAGGUGAAAUUCGUAGAUAUUGGGAAGAACACCGGUGGCGAAGGCGGCUCUCUGGACCGAAACUGACGCUGAGGCGCGAAAGCGUGGGGAGCAAACAGGAUUAGAUACCCUGGUAGUCCACGCCGUAAACGAUGUGUGCUAGACGUUGGGGAGCCUAGCUUUUCAGUGUCGCAGCUAACGCUUUAAGCACACCGCCUGGGGAGUACGGCCGCAAGGUUAAAAC